rnacentral:rRNA from 1 species
UGUGGGGGACAUUCCACGUUUUCCGCGCCGUAGCUAACGCAUUAAGUGCCCCGCCUGGGGAGUACGGCCGCAAGGCUAAAACUCAAAGGAAUUGACGGGGGCCCGCACAAGCGGCGGAGCAUGCGGAUUAAUUCGAUGCAACGCGAAGAACCUUACCAAGGCUUGACAUACACCGGACCGCCCUAGAGAUAGGGUUUCCCUUCGGGGCUGGUGUACAGGUGGUGCAUGGUUGUCGUCAGCUCGUGUCGUGAGAUGUUGGGUUAAGUCCCGCAACGAGCGCAACCCUUGUCCUAUGUUGCCAGCACGUAAUGGUGGGGACUCAUGGGAGACUGCCGGGGUCAACUCGGAGGAAGGUGGGGAUGACGUCAAAUCAUCAUGCCCCUUAUGUCUUGGGCUUCACGCAUGCUACAAUGGCCGGUACAGUGGGUUGCGAUACUGUGAGGUGGAGCUAAUCCCUAAAAGCCGGUCUCAGUUCGGAUCGAAGUCUGCAACUCGACUUCGUGAAGUUGGAGUCGCUAGUAAUCGCAGAUCAGCAAUGCUGCGGUGAAUACGUUCCCGGGCCUUGUACACACCGCCCGUCAAGUCACGAAAGUUGGUAACACCCGAAGCCGGUGGCCCAACCCUUGUGGGGGGAGCCGUCGAAAGGUGGGGCUGG